rnacentral:rRNA from 1 species
UUGAACGCUGGCGGCAGGCCUAACACAUGCAAGUCGAGCGGAUGAAGGGAGCUUGCUCCUGGAUUCAGCGGCGGACGGGUGAGUAAUGCCUAGGAAUCUGCCUGGCAGUGGGGGAUAACGUCCGGAGACGGGCGCUAAUACCGCAUACGUCCUGAGGGAGAAAGUGGGGGAUCUUCGGACCUCACGCUAUCAGAUGAGCCUAGGUCGGAUUAGCUAGUUGGUGGGGUAAAGGCCUACCAAGGCGACGAUCCGUAACUGGUCUGAGAGGAUGAUCAGUCACACUGGAACUGAGACACGGUCCAGACUCCUACGGGAGGCAGCAGUGGGGAAUAUUGGACAAUGGGCGAAAGCCUGAUCCAGCCAUGCCGCGUGUGUGAAGAAGGUCUUCGGAUUGUAAAGCACUUUAAGUUGGGAGGAAGGGCAGUAAGUUAAUACCUUGCUGUUUUGACGUUACCAACAGAAUAAGCACCGGCUAACUUCGUG